rnacentral:snoRNA from 1 species
UUUCCCAUUGAUUUGCUGCUAUUGUCUGUCAGUGAUAUGAGCAGUUAUACGCAUGGGAUAAAAAUAUAGAGGACCCUUGCAAAUUGAGAUGAAAAUAUCAUUUUCUCUCUUCUGGCAUGGUCUGAAUAUCG